rnacentral:tRNA from 1 species
AUUUACAUAGUUUAAUAAAUAAAACGAUACAUUUUCGUUGUAUAAAUAAUAUAACUUAAUAUUUGUAAAUA